rnacentral:misc_RNA from 1 species
AACAAUCUCCUCUUGGCUGCCAGGAUGAAACUAGUCUGCAGUACCAAGCUGAAGUUAGUGAUAGUAAGGUUUUAGAAAAAACAGGUGUUGUUGAAUACAUUUGUUACAAGCGGAGAAAAAGAUAUCCAGACUGUGGAUGCUAAGCUGGUUUUGGAAGUAGUAGUUAUCUAUAUCUAGUAAGCUGGUAAAAUAUUAGAAAAAGAUGG